rnacentral:rRNA from 1 species
AUUGAACGCUGGCGGCAGGCCUAACACAUGCAAGUCGAGCGGAUGAAGGGAGCUUGCUCCUGGAUUCAGCGGCGGACGGGUGAGUAAUGCCUAGGAAUCUGCCUGGUAGUGGGGGAUAAAGUCCGGAAACGGGCGCUAAUACCGCAUACGUCCUGCGGGAGAAAGUGGGGGGUCUUCGGACCUUACGCUAUCAGAUGAGGCUAGGCCGGAUUAGCUAGUUGGUGGGGUAAAGGCCUACCCAGGCGACGUUUCGUAACUGGUCUGAGAGGAUGAUCAGUCACACUGGAACUGAGACACGAUCCAGACUCCUACGGGAGGCAGCAGUGGGGAAUAUUGGACAAUGGGCGGAAGCCUGAUCCAGCCAUGCCGCGUGUGUGAAGAAGGUCUUCGGAUUGUAAAGUACUUUAAGUGGUGAGGAAGGGCAGUAAUUUAAUACCUUGCUGUUUUGACGGUACCAACUGAAUAAGCACCGGCUAACUUCGUG